CGUAGGUGGCGAGCGUUGUCCGGAAUUACUGGGUGUAAAGGGCGUGUAGGCGGGACUGUAAGUCAGAUGUGAAAUUCCGAAGGCUAACCUUGCGCUGCAUCUGAAACUAUAGCUCUUGAGUGCUGGAGAGGAAAGCGGAAUUCCUAGUGUAGCGGUGAAAUGCGUAGAUAUUAGGAGGAACACCAGUGGCGAAGGCGGCUUUCUGGACAGUAACUGACGCUGAGGCGCGAAAGCGUGGGGAGCAAACAGGAUUAGAUACCCUGGUAGUCCACGCUGUAAACGAUGGAUACUAGGUGUAGGAGGUAUCGACCCCUUCUGUGCCGGAGUUAACACAAUAAGUAUCCCACCUGGGGAGUACGGCCGCAAGGUUG
rnacentral:rRNA from 1 species